AAGACUGUGACACGCUGCUAUGGAGGUACUCGCUGCCACAGAUGUGUCCGCGAGAGGAUAGUCCGGGCUUUCCUUAUUGAAGAACAGAAGAUUGUGGUCCGUGUAUUGAAAGCACAAGAAGCCUCCAAAAAAUAAACUAUCAACAC
rnacentral:misc_RNA from 1 species